GGUGCAUGGUUGUCGUCAGCUCGUGCCGUGAGGUGUUGGGUUAAGUCCCGCAGCGAGCGCAACCCUCAUUGUUAGUUACUACCAUUCAGUUGAGGACUCUAAUGAGACUGCCAACGACAAGUUGGAGGAAGGUGGGAUGACGUCAAAUCAUCAUGCCCUUUAUGACCUGGGCUACAAACGUACUACAAUGGCCAAUACAAAGAGAUGCGAAGCGGUGACGUGAAGCGAACCUCAGAAAGUUGGUCUCAGUUCAGAUUGAAGUCUGCAACUCGACUUCAUGAAGGCGGAAUCGCUAGUAAUCGCAGGUCAGCAUACUGCGGUGAAUACGUUCCCGGGCCUU
rnacentral:rRNA from 1 species